CUAGGCUGAUGUGCACAUCUGCCUUAUCAGACCUGCAUAUCUACCUUAUCAGACCUGCGCAGCCUCUUUUAUCACCAGGCAGUGGGUACACAGUUUAUGAAGUCAAAUCUUCUGACUUUUAGGCAAGGAUGGAAACCUAGAGCCAUGAAGUUCUUCUGUGGGAAACUCUAGCGGAAGAUUUACUGACAGCACAUCACUGGAAUUCAAGAGGGCAGAGAAGGCAGCUUAGCUUGGCUGGCAGAGUGAAGGAGCAUCUGCUUUCCCAUCCAGGAACAGAUGUCAAUAAUUUUCCAGAGGGGAGGCCCUACAAGGUUACCAAUUCUAUUCAAAUUACACAAGAUGGACACUGUGUUCUACUAUCAAUGUACUCAAUAUAGCUUUCAAGAACAAUGUAAGAACAUUUAAUAUCAGUGCAUUUGCCUUGGUGGUGUCAUUUCCCUCCUUGGGUAUGACUGUCAGAAAGGUUUU